UUGUUAUCGCUGCUAACGAUAUGAUGAAAUAGGUUAAUUUAUUUCUGCUUUCUUUUAUAAAA
rnacentral:tRNA from 1 species